AACACUGUUAACCUGCGGUACCUGCGGAGGGAUCAUUACAGAGUUGCAAAACUCCCUAAACCAUUGUGAACGUUACCUAAACCGUUGCUUCGGCGGGCGGCCCGGGUCCUUCCCGGCGCCCCUCGGCCCUCGUGGGCGCCCGCCGGAGGUAAACCAAACUAUUGCAUUGUAUGGCCUCUCUGAGUCUUCUGUACUGAAUAAGUCAAAACUUUCAACAAUGGAUCUCAGAUCGGAAGAGCA
rnacentral:misc_RNA from 1 species